rnacentral:rRNA from 1 species
UACGUAGGUGACAAGCGUUGUCCGGAUUUACUGGGCGUAAAGAGCGCGCAGGCGGUCGUUCAAGUCGAGUGUGAAAGCCCCCGGCUCAACUGGGGAGGGUCACUCGAUACUGAUCGACUCGAAGGCAGGAGAGGGUAGUGGAAUUCCCGGUGUAGUGGUGAAAUGCGUAGAUAUCGGGAGGAACACCUAUGGCGAAGGCAGCUCGCUGGGACGUUACUGACGCUGAGACGCGAAAGCGUGGGGAGCAAACAGG